UACGGAAGGCAGCAGUGGGGAAUAUUGCACAAUGGGCGCAAGCCUGAUGCAGCCAUGCCGCGUGUAUGAAGAAGGCCUUCGGGUUGUAAAGUACUUUCAGUCGUGAGGAAGGUGUUAAGGUUAAUAACCUUAGCAAUUGACGUUAGCGACAGAAGAAGCACCGGCUAACUCCGUGCCAGCAGCCGCGGUAAUACGGAGGGUGCGAGCGUUAAUCGGAAUUACUGGGCGUAAAGGGCACGCAGGCGGUUAAUUAAGUUGGAUGUGAAAUCCCCGGGCUUAACCUGGGAAUGGCAUUCAAGACUGGUUAGCUAGAGUCUUGUAGAGGGGGUAGAAUUCCAUGUGUAGCGGUGAAAUGCGUAGAGAUGUGGAGGAAUACCGGUGGCGAAGGUGGCCCCUGGACAAAGGCUGACGCUCAUGUGCGAAAGCGUGGGGAGCAAAC
rnacentral:rRNA from 1 species